rnacentral:tRNA from 1 species
GCGACGGUGGUGUAAUGGAGCAGAACAUUCCCGCUCUGUUAGCAGCAGGUGUGGGUUCGAGUCCCGCCUGGCGCU